rnacentral:misc_RNA from 1 species
AAUGCACCUUGCGCCCUUUGGUAUUCCAUAGGGCUUGCCCGUUUGAGUGUCGCGUUUGUCUUCAACCUCUCCCUGGUUGGACUUGAGCUUGCGGGCUUUUGCCGCUCACUUCAAACUCAUUAGCUGGGCAGCUAGGCCCCUGGGCUUUGACGUCGUCGGUGUAACCGUCUGGCCCCUUGGGUGCUCCCCUGCUUUCCGUCCGUCCGUCUGAACUCUGACCUCAAAUCGGGUAGGGCUACCCGCUGAACUUAA